rnacentral:rRNA from 1 species
GAUGAACGCUGGCGGCGUGCCUAAUACAUGCAAGUCGAGCGAACAGACGAGGAGCUUGCUCCUCUGACGUUAGCGGCGGACGGGUGAGUAACACGUGGAUAACCUACCUAUAAGACUGGGAUAACUUCGGGAAACCGGAGCUAAUACCGGAUAACAUGUUGAACCGCAUGGUUUAACAGUGAAAGACGGUCUUGCUGUCACUUAUAGAUGGAUCCGCGCCGCAUUAGCUAGUUGGUAAGGUAACGGCUUACCAAGGCAACGAUGCGUAGCCGACCGGAGAGGGUGAUCGGCCACCUUGGAACUGAGCCACGGUCCAGACUCCUGCGGGAGGGAGCAGUAGGGAAUCUGCCGCAAUGGGCGAAAGCCUGACGGAGCAACGCCGCGUGAGUGAAGAAGGUGUUCGGAUCGGAAAACUCUGUUAUUAGGGAAGAACAAAUGUGUAAGUAACUAUGCACGUCUUGACGGUACCUAAUCAGAAAGCCACGGCUAACUACGUG